rnacentral:rRNA from 1 species
UACGUAGGGGGCAAGCGUUGUCCGGAUUUAUUGGGCGUAAAGAGCGUGUAGGCGGCCUGAAAGGUCAGCUGUGAAAACUCGAGGCUCAACCUCGAGACGUCGGUUGAAACCAUCUGGCUAGAGUCCGGAAGAGGAGUGUGGAAUUCCCGGUGUAGCGGUGAAAUGCGCAGAUAUCGGGAAGAACACCCGUGGCGAAGGCGGCACUCUGGGACGGUACUGACGGCGUGAGACGCGAAAGCGUGGGGAGCGAACAGG